AUAAUAUAAGAUUGUGAAGGAACAUGAAUUAAUAAUCAACAAUUGAAUAUUCGAUAAUUGAAUAACAUGAACUGAGUGGUUUUGAAUAACCAUGAACAUUUGCCAAGGUGCUCAGUGAUUUAAACUGGACCUUUUAAUAAGUUUUGGUAUUCAAGGGGAUCAGCCUUUCAUACCCCGUGAUUUAUGCAUAAACACUUAAUAAUCCGACAUUGAUAUCAUGCCUUAAUCAAAUUUGUCCAUUUCUCAGUCAAGAGUUCUUACCAUAUCAAUUAAUAAGAACAGUUAUUUAAAAACCCAUUUGAUUUAACAAAUUUAGACAUGCUUGAUCUAGCUGAUACAAUUAGCAUAGAUCUAUCCCAUAAACAGUUCAUAAAUGAAGAACUUUAAUUUAAUUCACAGUUCAAUAGCAGUAGAACAGGAAUUCAAUUGCACAAAGUGCGAAUUUCAAUAAUCAAUAUAGACGUG
rnacentral:lncRNA from 1 species